GGGGGUGCUGUUACUGCCACUGGUGGCCAGAUGCCGUGGUGUCGGGCAUCAGGAUAACACCCUAGGGAAGGUAGAUGGAUAUAUUCUGAAACACCUAAUGACAUUGCAUCUGCCAUCCUUUAAACCACUAUACCAGACUGUGCCACCUCUACCCCAACAGUUGGCACCUCUCUCUGCUUCCUAUGGGACCAGUCUUUAGGUUACGCUGAUUGUAAUGGAAAGGUGGAUCAAUCUAACCCACCACAUGAAGAAGCAAGCUAGAGCCCAUCAUCACAGCAUUGCCUUGAUGAGCUGUGAUUGCUGCCGGCUGUCAGGAUCCUUGAACCGUUGCUUGCUGAGAAAAUCCUGGCGGGGCUGGAUGGCACUCAGCGGUCACGUUCCUGAGGCCAAGGAGGAUCCAGGAGACCAACCCCACUCCCACGGUCCACAGCCCACUCGGGCUGCACCACGGAGGCCGUGAGAUCGGAAGAGACCCUAGGUGUGCAGUGAAAGAGGUGCAAGAUCGUUCUCCAAAACUAACCUUCUCCACUGCAACCCCUCAAACAGCAGCCUCCUACCACGUGCACAGCAGCUCAGUAGGGCUCUGGGUUGCUUUCGUGCCAGUUCUUCAAACGUGUCCCCACGACUGUUUGCAAAUGUUGUGCUUCUGCUCCGUGUUAUGUUUGCAAAGAAAUUAUCUGGUGCUCCACUUCCAAGGCUGACUGGCAGCUGUGAUAACCACCUGCGUUCAGGGUUUUGCAUAUCAUAGCUCAGAGGUUUGACUCUGUAAUGCUUUUUCUUUUUUUCUGCCUUGAAAAGCCUGCGUUUCAGCAGAGAGAGAGGUUGAGGUGCAGGGGAAAGGGGAGAGCAAUAGAGUUCAUGCAUUUUAUAACCGCAACGAUCUCCUGGCUACUUGAGCUCAGGAUCUGCCUGUCCCUGGCUAGGGUGUGCACCCACCCCACUGCCACUCGAGCUAAGCGCUGCGGCUGCCCCACUGAACUCAUGUUAUUAGUUAGGCGCUGCCAUCAGAGGAAGCCGUCAGCUGGAAGCGCCCUGCAAGGCAGAUUUCAUAGACAUUAGGGCUGGAAGGGACCUUGCGAGAUCAUCGGGUCCAGCCCCCCGCCCAAGGGGCAGCAGGACAGCUGGGGUUGCAUCACCCCAGCAAGAUAAGCAUCCAGGCGUUUCUUAAAGGUAUCCAGAGUAGGUGCUUGCACCGCUUCUGGGGGGAGCCUAUUCCAGGCUCUGGAGACUCGGACCGUAAAGAAGUUUUUCCUUAUGUCCAGUCUAAAACGGUCUUCCAGCAGUUCGUGAUCGUUAGACCUUGUCUUCCCCCAACCCACUCCCAGAAGCCCAAACUUCAGCCCGCCAUGUGCUGAAGCACACAGCUUUACAAGGGCCUCUCUCUAGACAGCUUGCACAAAGGGCACUGUUGUCUGGGCAGAACUGCAUUGCAAGUGUCCCAGCUCAGGAGCAUCCUCUCUAUAGCCCACCUGUGGGUGCCCACCGUGUUUCCACCAUGCACCCACGUAAGGGAGUGUUUGCCCCAGUGCAAGUCCACUGUCCCGGUGCCUGGAGCAGCCUUCUCGGCAAGCUGGGCUCUGCUCUGAACGGGCCGUCUAGCCUUGAUGGAACGUGCUGGUGGUUGUUAUUCUUCAUUAGCGCAUCCUCUUCCUGAGAGUAAUUGAGGAGACCUCAGAAGCGGUGCGCUGCACACACCUGACAAGCUUCUGCCUUUGAUGUGGGAAUGAGGCAUUCAUUAGUCACCGGGACAAAAUGUGCAUGCAGGCUCCAGCACCGACUGUUCCUGCGAAAGGGGAAAAGUCAGACAUCAACAAACAAGCCUCCUUUGUUCCUGCUGGAAGAAUUAGGAUUGAUACCGCUCCCUUUCCGCAGGGGAGGCCUUGAUUUAUUCCUUUUAGGCAGGGAACAUCACAUAAGUGGGGGAGGAUGGAGGGGGGGGAAGAGGGAGAAAAGAAGAAAGCAAUGUUUUUACCUUGGUCAGAAGGACUAACAUCAUUAAAUAACACACAUGGUAUCUCAGCGAUACACCAUUUGUCACAAAGGAUGCAGAGCUGACCCCCCCCUCUCCCCUGCUGAAUCAUUGCAUGAGGUUUCUGGUCAGGAUUUCAUUAUAGUCAUCAAGAUUAGAAAUGAAGAUAAUUAGGGACAGCGAGAAGUAUAGCUCCCUGUGACGGGGACGGGAUGGGGGCCCUACAUGAAGCAUUUACAGAUGACUCGCAGCAGCCGAAUAGCCCCCAGUGCCGCAUGGUCAUGAUGGGGUGGGUAUCACAGUGUUGGUUUGGCCAGCAUGUGAUUGCCUUCGGCAGUCGAGGACGGGUUCUUUAAAUGGCUCUCCAGCAGCUACGCUCCCUACCGCAUAAUGGAUGCCUUCAGCUGGCACGCAGGAUUAUGCCGAGUUAAGGCAGCAAAACUUUUCCAGCAGGAGAAAUUCUGGCACCGCGGACCACACACAAAGCAAAACCAGCCACAAGACGCAGCCACGAUCUAGGAGGGCACAGCGGUCCCAUGAAAUGGAGGAUUUAUGUCCUGGCUGAAUAGGCGACACGUCUCCAUCUCCACUAAACUACAGCAGUAUCGUCCAUCAUCGCUGGGAAAACUUUUCCAAGUAGACUGGGAACCUCAGCAGUCAGUGCCUCCAGCUUCUCAGCCAAGAUGGUACUUCUCACCGGUGGGGAGCAAUAUCUCUUCCCCUCGUCAUUCAGCAAUAGUCUCAGCAGAUCCCAGCAACGAGCCCAUCUCAGCACUUCACCCUUCUGCAGGAUGAGAGGUUCUGCUAAAGGAGCUGUGGUUGUGUUCAUCCAUUUCUUAAGCUGUCCUCCCCCAUGAAAUGCACUGUAAAUCGUCUCCUUGGACCAAUGUGCAAAUCCCCCUCCUAACUAUAUGGCUCCCUAAAGCGCUCAAAUAUGGACAGUGAGAUUCUCCAAAGUUUCUACGCCCCUAAAUCCCACUGAGUUCAGCGAGAGCUAAGCACCUAAAUAUCUCCAAAAACCUGAGCUAACGCUGUUCAGUUAUGGUGAGCGUGCAGGGUUAAGAGUUACUCUGCCCUCUUUGUCUUGUAAAAUAUUGUGGUGCCUUUAAACUUUUCUUUCAACAGCAAUGUAAGCCAUAUUUCCUUUUAAUGAUAGGAGCAGCCCCACAACUGGUAAUCCGCUGGUGGCAUCUAGUGGCAGUCAGCAGCGUUACCUAUUUAUGCGGCAGCAAAGUUUAGAUUUUCUUUCAGGUGCCGCAAGUCCAAAAGAAACAGGCUUAUUCUCUGAACGUUACAUUUUCAAAUCAAAAUAUUUGUUUUGGAACCAAGUGAACAUCGAGGCUAUUUUUCUCUGGCAGAAACAAAAGAUUUUGCAAUCAUCUCUUGGACGCCUGCUAGAACUGGCUGGGUUUUGUACAAGGAACGUUUUGUUUCUCAUGCGGUCAGGCCGCUGCCUUGCGGAUCUGAUUGUAGCCGCCCACUGGAUAUCGGAGAGCAAAAUGGGAUUUGCUUGACCUGAUUCUUAUCAGAGGUUUACACCAUGUGUCGAAUAAAUAAGUCUAAGGGCAAGCCCAGUGUCCAGAUGCGUUGGAUGGGGCCUGCGGCACUUGAAUAUACGAUCAGGUUUGUAUGUAUAUGGUGGCUUAGGUGAAAUAUAAGCAGAUUCAGUAGACAGUGGUCUAGACACUCAGGGUAAGUAAGGCAUGAGAUCAAGUUAGGCCUCCAGUUUUUAAACUUUAACCCAGGACAGCUGGCAGAAGUUAUGGUGCACCAUGCCACUGCGUGCCGAAAGCAGGAACGGGUCGAUUUUGAAGGUGUGGGGGGAUGAGGCUGCCCACUCCUUUCAAGACAGUGCCUUCUCUCUGCCUGGCCCCAACCUACGCACUUGCCCUUUCUCCUCCUCUCCCAGCAAAUCUACUUCUCCCACGAUGCCCACUUUGUUCCAGGCCUGUGUGACGCGCCUAAAGCUUCAUUCUUGGAUGCCACUGUGUGGAGACAACCUUUAAACUUCCUUUCAACCCGAGUCUGACUUUUUGAACAGGCCAAGCGAACUGAACAGAGACACUGGGCGUGUCUAUACGUGCAUGUACUGUGCAGCAAGUUACUGCGCAGUAAGCGGUUUUUAGGCCAGCAUCUACACGUGCAGGCGUUACAGCGUAGGAAGGCUGUGUGGACUGACUUGGGACUAAAGUUAGUCCAGAGUCAGUCCACACACAAUGUUACUAUGCUGUAACGCCUGCACACGUACACGCCUGCACGUGUAGACUAACUAAAGCUAGUCCCAAGUCAGUCCACGCACAACGUUACUAUGCUGUAACACCUGCACGUGUAGACUAACUAAAGUUAGUCCCAAGUCAGUCCACACAGUGUUACUGCACAGUAAGGCAACUACACGUGCCUUACUGCGCAAUAACUAAUUGGGCAUAAAUUUCCUACCUCAAUCAUGCAAGUAGCAAAUUUACACCCAAGUCAGCCUAAGUCGCCAU